GGUGUACAUUGAACCUUCAAAUAGAGACUGGAUAGCACCCAGCAGUGCAAUCUUCUCAUCAGACGCAAUGGCAACAGCAGCCCCCCUGAAUUGGGUAAGCAGAUCCUUAUUCUCUGAUGGAUCCCCAUAGUUCUCAGUCCAAGAUGACAUAAUAAUGGCCAUACCAAUUGCAAGAAAGCAUGCAGCGGCAUCAAAAGGUGCCACUGGUCCAAGAGACAGACUAUCAACUAAUACAUUUCCAAACAACCCAGCAAGAAUUGCAACAAGACCAUUGCCAAGAAAUAUAGCCUUUGAGAAUGUGAUAGACAACCAUUGCUGUUCAAAGCCCCUCUUAUUGUGCUCU
rnacentral:misc_RNA from 1 species